rnacentral:rRNA from 1 species
GAUGAACGCUGGCGGCGUGCCUAAUACAUGCAAGUCGAGCGAACAGACGAGGAGCUUGCUUCUCUGAUGUUAGCGGCGGACGGGUGAGUAACACGUGGAUAACCUACCUAUAAGACUGGGAUAACUUCGGGAAACCGGAGCUAAUACCGGAUAAUAUUUUGAACCGCAUGGUUCAAAAGUGAAAGACGGUCUUGCUGUCACUUAUAGAUGGAUCCGCGCUGCAUUAGCUAGUUGGUAAGGUAACGGCUUACCAAGGCAACGAUGCAUAGCCGACCUGAGAGGGUGAUCGGCCACACUGGAACUGAGACACGGUCCAGACUCCUACGGGAGGCAGCAGUAGGGAAUCUUCCGCAAAGGGCGAAAGCCUGACGGAGCAACGCCGCGUGAGUGAUGAAGGUCUUCGGAUCGUAAAACUCUGUUAUUAGGGAAGAACAUAUGUGUAAGUAACUGUGCACGUCUUGACGGUACCUAAUCAGAAAGCCACGGCUAACUACGUG